GGGGUUGGGGAUUUGGCUCAGUGGUAGAGUGCUCGCCUAGCAAGUGCAAGGCCCUGGGUUCGGUCCCCAGCUCCGAAAAAGAAUAGGAAAAAAAAAAAAAAAAAGAAUCAAUAAGAAGCUGGCUU
rnacentral:scRNA from 1 species